GACGAACGCUGGCGGCGUGCUUAACACAUGCAAGUCGAGCGAGGCCCCUCCUUCGGGAGGGUGUCCUAGCGGCGAACGGGUGAGUAACACGUGGGCAACCUGCCCUCAGCUCUGGGAUAACUCCGGGAAACCGGGGCUAAUACCGGAUACGACCUCCACGGGCAUCUGCGGAGGUGGAAAGUUUUUCGGCUGAGGAUGGGCCCGCGGCCUAUCAGCUAGUUGGUGGGGUAGUGGCCCACCAAGGCGACGACGGGUAGCCGGCCUGAGAGGGCGACCGGCCACACUGGGACUGAGACACGGCCCAGACUCAUACGGGAGGCAGCAGUGGGGAAUAGUGCGCAAUGGGCGAAAGCCUGACGCAGCGACGCCGCGUGAGGGACGAAGGCCUUCGGGUUGGAAACCUCUUUCAGCAGGGACGAAGCGAAAGUGACGGUACCUGCAGAAGAAGCACCGGCCAACUACGU
rnacentral:rRNA from 1 species